GUGUCAGCAGCCGCGGUAAUACGAAGGGGGCUAGCGUUGCUCGGAAUCACUGGGCGUAAAGCGCACGUAGGCGGGUUGUUAAGUCGGGGGUGAAAUCCUGGAGCUCAACUCCAGAACUGCCUUCGAUACUGGCGACCUUGAGUCCGGGAGAGGUGAGUGGAACUCCGAGUGUAGAGGUGAAAUUCGUAGAUAUUCGGAAGAACACCAGUGGCGAAGGCGGCUCACUGGCCCGGUACUGACGCUGAGGUGCGAAAGCGUGGGGAGCAAACAGGAUUAGAUACCCCCGUAGUCC
rnacentral:rRNA from 1 species